rnacentral:rRNA from 1 species
CCUACGGGAGGCAGCAGUCGAGAAUCAUUCACAAUGGGGGAAACCCUGAUGGUGCGACGCCGCGUGGGGGAAUGAAGGUCUUCGGAUUGUAAACCCCUGUCAUGUGGGAGCAAAUUAAAAAGAUAGUACCACAAGAGGAAGAGACGGCUAACUCUGUGCCAGCAGCCGCGGUAAUACAGAGGUCUCAAGCGUUGUUCGGAAUCACUGGGCGUAAAGCGUGCGUAGGCUGUUUCGUAGGUCGUGUGUGAAAGGCGCGGGCUCAACCCGCGGACGGCACAUGAUACUGCGAGACUAGAGUGAUGGAGGGGGAACCGGAAUUCUCGGUGUAGCAGUGAAAUGCGUAGAUAUCGAGAGGAACACUCGUGGCGAAGGCGGGUUCCUGGACAUUAACUGACGCUGAGGCACGAAGGCCAGGGGAGCGAAAGGGAUUAGAUACCCUUGUAGUC